rnacentral:rRNA from 1 species
AUACGGAGGAUGCGAGCGUUAUCCGGAUUUAUUGGGUUUAAAGGGUGCGUAGGCUGUGCGUUAAGUCAGGGGUGAAAUGCCGUCGCUCAACGACGGAGCUGCCCUUGAUACUGGCGUGCUGGAGUACGGAUGCCGUUGGAGGAAUGAGUGGUGUAGCGGUGAAAUGCUUAGAUAUCACUAAGAACACCGUUUGCGCAGGCAUCUAACAAACCCGUGACUUCCGCCGAGCCUCGAAGGCGUGGGAAUAGAACAGUAUUAGAUACCCUGGUAUUCCACGCCGUAAACGAUGAUGACUAAACGUCGGCGAUAGACAGCCGGUGGCCAAGCGAAAGCGAUACGUAAUCCCCCUGGGGAGUACGUCGGCAACGAUGAAACUCAAAUGAAUUUACGGGG